CCUACGGGAGGCAGCAGUGAGGAAUAUUGGUCAAUGGGCGUAAGCCUGAACCAGCCAAGUCGCGUGAGGGAUGAAGGUUCUAUGGAUCGUAAACCUCUUUUAUAAGGGAAUAAAGUGUGGGACGUGUCCUGUUUUGUAUGUACCUUAUGAAUAAGGAUCGGCUAACUCCGUGCCAGCAGCCGCGGUAAUACGGAGGAUCCGAGCGUUAUCCGGAUUUAUUGGGUUUAAAGGGUGCGUAGGCGGCCUUUUAAGUCAGCGGUGAAAGUCUGUGGCUCAACCAUGGAAUUGCCGUUGAAACUGGGAGGCUUGAGUAUGUUUGAGGCAGGCGGAAUGCGUGGUGUAGCGGUGAAAUGCUUAGAUAUCACGCAGAACCCCGAUUGCGAAGGCAGCCUGCCAGGCCAUGACUGACGCUGAUGCACGAAAGCGUGGGGAUCAAACAGGAUUAGAUACCCCAGUAGUC
rnacentral:rRNA from 1 species